CGACAGCUGUUCCUCUCUCUGUUCCAAGUUAUGAGCUUUGGGAUUUUAGGCUGUCGUAGAUAAAAUAUGACCUAUCUUCACUCAGGGGGUGCUCUGACAGGUUGGCUGUCUUUACAUGCCUUCUGAAUUUUGCGGGGUUAGACAAAU